rnacentral:rRNA from 1 species
CUACGGGGUGCUGCAGCAAGGAAUAUUGCGCAAUGGGCGAAAGCCUGACGCAGCGACGUCGCGUGGGGGAUGACGGUCUUCGGAUUGUAAACCCCUUUUCUCAGGGAAGAAUAAUGACGGUACCUGAGGAAUAAGUCUCGGCUAACUACGUGCCAGCAGCCGCGGUAAUACGUAGGAGGCAAGCGUUAUCCGGAUUUAUUGGGCGUAAAGAGGGCGUAGGCGGUCUUUCAAGUCGGAUGUAAAAUCUCCCGGCUCAACUGGGAGGGUGCAUUCGAUACUGUUGGACUGGAGGGCAGCAGAGGAAAGCGGAAUUCCCGGUGUAGUGGUGAAAUGCGUAGAUAUCGGGAGGAACACCAGUGGCGAAGGCGGCUUUCUGGGCUGCAUCUGACGCUGAGGCCCGAAAGCGUGGGGAGCGAACAGGAUUAGAUACCCUUGUAGUC